UUUCAAAAAAAAAAAAAAAACAAAAAAAGAAAGGUUCAAAUGCAGCACUGCUGUGUACAAGGGCUGGGGCGAGAGCUCAGAGCAACUCCUUAGGCAGAGUGGUGAGCCCGCGGGCCCCAGGGUGAGGGGCCUGUUGCACCAUCUUUCAAACACUGCCCAAUCUCUAGUGUCUUUAUGGAAGCCAGCACCUGCAUGCACCACUCACGCAGGCAGCGCGUUUUCCUGCAGAACAUAAAUGCUUUGGUAUGCACUGCGGCCAGCUUGUUAGAACCCCAUUCCUGGCUUCACCCUCAGGGAUUCCAGUUCAACAGGUCUGAGCUGGGCCCCCAGAAAGCUAUAUAAGCUGCUCAGAUGGUUCUGAUGAAGGUGGUGAUCCAUCCUGAGAGUGGCUGGACUGUGAGUUCCACAAUGAGGCCUGAAACUAACCCAAUGAACUUGCCCAGUCAUCACAAGCAGAGUAUUUUUUAAAAGAGGUGUGAGCAAGAACAACACUGACACAGCUCUACGAAUGCUAAAUUCAAGACAAAUUCAC